rnacentral:piRNA from 1 species
UACUGUGAAUGUAAGGAGGACCGCAUAGUC